AUUGAACGCUGGCGGCAUGCCUUACACAUGCAAGUCGAACGGCAGCACGGGAGCAAUCCUGGUGGCGAGUGGCGAACGGGUGAGUAAUAUAUCGGAACGUGCCCGGUCGUGGGGAUAACGUAGCGAAAGCUACGCUAAUACCGCAUACGAUCUACGGAUGAAAGCGGGGGAUCGCAAGACCUCGCGCGAUUGGAGCGGCCGAUAUCAGAUUAGGUAGUUGGUGAGGUAAAGGCUCACCAAGCCGACGAUCUGUAGCUGGUCUGAGAGGACGACCAGCCACACUGGGACUGAGACACGGCCCAGACUCCUACGGGAGGCAGCAGUGGGGAAUUUUGGACAAUGGGCGCAAGCCUGAUCCAGCAAUGCCGCGUGCAGGAUGAAGGCCUUCGGUUGUAACUAGCUUUGUUACGGUACGAAACGGUGAGCUCUAAUACAGUUUGUCUAAUGUACGGUACCGUAAG
rnacentral:rRNA from 1 species